rnacentral:rRNA from 1 species
CCUACGGGCGGCAGCAGUGAGGAAUAUUGGUCAAUGGACGCGAGUCUGAACCAGCCAAGUAGCGUGAAGGAUGACUGCCCUAUGGGUUGUAAACUUCUUUUGUAAAGGAAUAAAACGAGGCACGUGUGCCUUUUUGCAUGUACUUUAUGAAUAAGGAUCGGCCAACUCCGUGCCAGCAGCCGCGGUAAUACGGAGGAUUCGAGCGUUAUCCGGAUUUAUUGGGUUUAAAGGGAGCGUAGAUGGGUUGUUAAGUCAGUGGUGAAAGUUUGCGGCUCAACCGUAAAAUUGCAAUUGAUACUGGUAGUCUAGAGAACAGUUGAGGUAGGCGGAAUGCGUGGUGUAGCGGUGAAAUGCUUAGAGAUCACGAAGAACCCCGAUUGCGAAGGCAGCUUACUAAGCUGUGACUGACAUUGAUGCUCGAAAGUGUGGGGAUCAAACAGGAUUAGAUACCCCUGUAGUC